rnacentral:rRNA from 1 species
ACUGCUAUCGGGGUGGGACUAAGACAUGCGAGUUGAGCGUCUCUAGCUAUGUUGAGACGCGGCAUACGGCUCAGUAACACGUGGCUAACCUACCCUCAGGACAGGGACAAACCCGGGAAACUGGGGCUAAUACCAGAUAGGCGAGGACGCCUGGAAUGGUUUCUCACCCAAAAGACUUUGGAAACAUGCUUCCAAGUCGCCUGGGGAUGGGGCCGCGUCCGAUCAGGUCGUUGGUAAGGCAAUGGCUUACCAAGCCUAUAACCGGUACGGGCCGUGAGAGCGGUAGCCCGGAGAUGGGCACUGAGACAAGGGCCCAGGCCCUACGGGGCGCAGCAGUCGCGAAAACUCCGCAAUGCACGAAAGUGUGACGGGGCUACCCCGAGUGCCGUCCGCUGAGGAUGGCUUUUCCUCGGUGUAACUAGCCGGGGGAAUAAGGAGAGGGCAAGACUGGUGUCAGCCGCCGCGGUAAUACCAGCUCUCCGAGUGGUAGGGAUGAUUAUUGGGCUUAAAGCGUCCGUAGCUGGCUUAGCAAGUCUCCUGUUAAAUUCAGCGACCUAAUCGUUGAGCCGCGGGAGAUACUACUAGGCUAGGAGGCGGGAGAGGUCGACGGUACUUUCGGGGUAGGGGUGAAAUCCUAUAAUCCCGGGAGGACCACCAGUGGCGAAGGCUGUCGACUAGAACGCGCUCGACGGUGAGGGACGAAAGCUGGGGGAGCGAACCGGAUUAGAUACCCGGGUAGUCCCAGCUGUAAACUAUGCGGGCUAGGUGUUGGGGUGGCUACGGGCCACUUCAGUGCCGCAGGAAAGCCAUUAAGCCCGCCGCCUGGGGAGUACGGCCGCAAGGCUGAAACUUAAAGGAAUUGGCGGGGGAGCACCACAAGGCGUGAAG